GCGCGCAACCAAAGAGAACAACGAGGAACCAUCAAAGUCUGAAAUGUUUAUUACAACUCGUACAAAGAAAGGGAAGGAAGUUCAUACGGAUACUCAAGUUGCAAUAUCUGAACUUCAGAAUCGUCAAAGUUCUGGAGAAACAGCAGAUGAUGCAUUUAGGCUGUAUUUGGAAAGGAGCAGCCUAGUCGGGUUAGAUGCUAUGGUAGAUCGGUAACGACAAACUCUCUAAAAAAAGAUGAAGAAAUCACCAAACUUAAACAACAGCAUGCCAACGAAUAACUUCUCUGAAGGAAGAAAUGAAGGAAAUGAUGAGAGAAGAAAUGCGAUGUUUUUUAGUCAAAUGGUGAAAAACAACCCUGGACUGGAUUUUCGUAAUAUACAAGGGUGUGUUGGAUCUAAUAUUCCUUCACCGGUUGAUGCAAGUAGUGCACGAGAUAUGAGAGGCCAUAAUCUACCAUAAUCUUCUGGCUCAACUCAUGCCCCAAGUCUUGAAAAGGAAAAUACCAGUGAUGCAAUUGGAAAUGGUGGCCACAAAUCAAUUUGAUUCAUUGAAGUGAAUGGUGAAGACCUUUUGAACAAUUAUGAUGUUUUUUUUGUUGAUAC